GGCGGCCCGCCCGCCUGGCUGCACUCCUGAGACAUCCCGCCUGCUCAGGGGACCCCAAACCCCUAGAGACCUGGAUACUGAAGGGGAGGAGGCGGGACGCCAGGAAACACCACAGAUGAAGCUUCCAAGUGAGAAGUUCAGGGCUUCACAAUUGAGAACCAGAAAGAAAAGGAGAAACUGGCCUUUGUUGAGUAUCAACUGUCAACAUUCUUGGAUAAGAAAGAUGCUAUUGGUGGGAUGCGGAAGUGAUGACUGAUUGAAAAGUGUUAAACAGACUAAUCAAGUGAUUCCUAGGCUGAGAUGGCUCCAGGGCCUUAGAUUCCUACAUAUACAAAGUGAGACAACUCAAUGUAAAUAACAUUCUGUUUUAUUUAUUUUUUAAAUAAACUC
rnacentral:lncRNA from 13 species